GCUCCUGUAGCCCAAUCGGAAGAGGCAGCAAGCUUAAACCUUGCGCGUUGCUGGUUCAAGCCCAGCCAGGAGUACUA
rnacentral:tRNA from 1 species